GGGUGAUCUGGCUGUGACAUCUGUCACCCCUGUCUUUGAUUGCCAAGGUUGAUUUGGUUGAUCUGGCUGGCUCCAUGUGCGUCCCUUCUGAAGCUGCAUGCUCAGCCAAAGAGGAUGACCAUUCCUGACAGAGAACUAGUCUUUAGUCAAGGGUAUACAAGUAGCUGUGCUCCCCUGCUAGGACCUCCAAACAAAGAGGAAGCAAUUUUUAUAUUCUUACUUACUGUCCCAUCAAAGAAGGCUUUUUUU
rnacentral:snRNA from 1 species